GUAUUGAUGUUUUUGGAGACUCUGUAAUUCUGUCCCUGCCUGCUGGAGCCGUUGGAUUAUUUCUGGUGACUGUAAGGAGUUUUGUUUCCUCCCCAGGAUUUCGCCUCGUCUGGUUUGUUUUCCGUCUGGAGGGUUUGGCAAUAAACAGUACCAAAUCGAGUGCACUACCUGUGUGUGUUUCCGUCACCAGCACGUCCUGGCUCCGCGUCCCCAUUCAUACGCUGUUGUAUAUACUUUGUCCUUGUAAAUACCUCCCCAUCACUGUAAA